CAUUAGGUGGCUGAAAGUAAGUAAAGGUCUCUUAAACCUCUCAAUAGUAAAUUUACACCUACUUCUAAUG
rnacentral:tRNA from 1 species